GACGAACGCUGGCGGCGUGCUUAACACAUGCAAGUCGAACGGAAAGGCCCUGCUUUUGUGGGGUGCUCGAGUGGCGAACGGGUGAGUAACACGUGAGUAACCUGCCCUUGACUUUGGGAUAACUUCAGGAAACUGGGGCUAAUACCGGAUAGGAGCUCCUGCUGCAUGGUGGGGGUUGGAAAGUUUCGGCGGUUGGGGAUGGACUCGCGGCUUAUCAGCUUGUUGGUGGGGUAGUGGCUUACCAAGGCUUUGACGGGUAGCCGGCCUGAGAGGGUGACCGGCCACAUUGGGACUGAGAUACGGCACAGACUCCUACGGGAGGCAGCAGUGGGGAAUAUUGCACAAUGGGCGGAAGCCUGAUGCAGCAACGCCGCGUGCGGGAUGACGGCCUUCGGGUUGUAAACCGCUUUCGCCUGUGACGAAGCGUGAGUGACAGUAAUGGGUAAAGAAGCACCGGCUAACUACGUG
rnacentral:rRNA from 1 species